CCCUUAGAUGUUCUGGGCCGCACGCGCGCUACACUGACGAAUGCAACGAGCUUAUAACCUUGGCCGAAAGGUCUGGGUAAUCUCCAAAUUUCGUCGUGAUGGGGAUAGAUUAUUGCAAUUAUUAAUCUUCAACGAGGAAUGCCUAGUAAGCGCAAGUCAUCAGCUUGCGUUGAUUACGUCCCUGCCCUUUGUACACACCGCCCGUCGCUCCUACCGAUUGAAUGGUCCGGUGAAGCGUUCGGACCGUGGCCUUUGGACGGUUCGCCGUCUGUUGGCUGCGGGAAGUUCGUUAAACCUUAUCAUUUAGAGGAAGGAGGANUCGUAACA
rnacentral:rRNA from 1 species